GAGCUCGCUAAUAAAUUUCAGUUUAAACUUUCCGGCUUGCAAGCUCGCAAGCUCUCGCUAAGGCGCCGGUUGGAUCGUUCAAUUAGGAGGUGGAUCGGAUCGUCGAUGCAGCAAAAGCUAUGAACCGAUGCGAAGCGACGACGAGGGACCAAUGCCAAGAAAACCGAUGCAAGGAGAAAUGAAGAUCGUGCGAUUACGACGACGUGGGGGGUGGGGGGAGGAGUAGGGGGAAAGGGGGGCAAGGGGUACCUAUCGAAGUAGAAGAGAACAAAAUAUUUCAACUACCUGGAAACUUCUCAAGACGAGCUCGUAAAUGUGUGUGUAUAUACAUAUACACUUCUGUAAUAUUAACUUUUAUUCCCUGUAUUUGUUUAAUAUUUAAUAAUAGAAAAAAAGAAAGAAAAAAAGAGGUACGUUUCGGGAAAAAUUAACGAAUCGGUUUUACUUUCUUUCUUUUUUGUUUGUUAAUUUUUAAUCUCUCUUUUGAUCUCUCUCUAUCGUCGUUUUUCUUUUUUUAUUAAAAACUUAUUUUCCUUCACGCAAAUUAGCAGUAGAGAGAGAGAGAGAUCUUUCUGAGAAGAAGUUUUAAGAGGAAUCGUUUCUCCAUAUCUUAGAAGAUGAUUACGACGUAAUAGCCGAUCUUACCGUCGUUUAUCACUCGCUUAAAUGAAAUUCAAUUAAGCUAACACAAAUAUAUGUGUGUAUGUAUGUGUGUGUGUGUGUGUAUUUCAAUGUGCAAGCACGUACGUACGUAUAAACGAACGAACGUAUACGACGAAUAGCAAUUCUACAAGAGUUAUCUCGCAAAUAAGGAGGUAAUUAAAAACGAAGUUACGUAGUGAGAGUUACUUGUUGCGGAUUUCGAAAGAUAACGAUGA
rnacentral:lncRNA from 1 species